GUGUGUGUGUGUGUGUGUGUGUGUGUGUGUGUGUGUGUGUGUGUGUGUGUGUGUUUUGCAGGGGGUUGAGGUUGGGCGGGAGAGGGGUGCAGAAACGUUCUCUGCUGGGAAAGGACAACUUGGACCGGGAGGGAGUUGCCUGCGUCUGGGCCGCGGGGGAGCAGCAGGCCGGCCAGGCGGGGAAGCCCAUGCCUAGGAAAAGGGAGUGACUUGGAAUCCUAAAUCAGAAGUCUCAAGCAAUUUCUCUUUUGGAUAAUGUCAUCAUUUGGGGGUAAUCAACAACAUUCACACGCCUCUCCUCUCUAAAUGCCAUUUGAAGUCUCCUCUGAGAGGCUCUCCUGCAGUAAACAGCUUGGCUUCUCCCUCAAGCAUUCUACUCAGUCCCUGUCUGCUCUGGUCUCUCAGCUGAUGACUCAGGGAGGAUGUUUGUUACCCCCUCAGACUGAGGGAUCUCUGUGGUCAAGAACCAUGCUCCCUGCUUCUGGCUGGAUCCCUGCAAGGAUCUCCACAGACCUCUAAGAGUCUGAGCCCAGGACCCGGCCUGGUGGCUGGGAAGCCAAUGGGAAGCCUAUUCAUCUCUGGACUCAGGGUUGUUACCUGCAAAUAUCACUCCAAAGGUAUGCCAGGACGACAAUGAUGAUGACAACAAUGGUGAUGAUGAUGAUGGUGCUGGUGAUGAUGGAGGAGAAGAAGAAGAAGAAGAAGAAGAAGAAGAAGAAGAAGAAGAAGAAGAAGAAGAAGAAGAAGAAGAAGAAGAAGAAGAAGAAGAAGAAGAAGAAGAAGAAGAAGAAGAAGAAAUAAUAAAAAAGAUAGGCCCCACUGGGUGGUGGUGCUGUAUGUCUUUAAUCCCAAUACUUGGGAGGAGACAGAGGCAGGAGGAUUUCUAUGAGUUUGAGGCUGGCCUGGUCUACAGUGAGAGUUGCAAGACAAUCAGCACCACAUAGAGAAAUCCUGUCUCAAAAAUAAAAAUAAGUCUUUCGAUGUUCAA